AGCAGCUGAAGAACCCCGAAUAGGACGAAACGCGCGUCCUGGAU
rnacentral:hammerhead_ribozyme from 1 species